GAUGAAGAACGCAGCGAAAUGCGAUAAGUAGUGUGAAUUGCAGAAUUUAGUGAAUCAUCGAAUCUUUGAACGCACAUUGCGCCUUUUGGUAUUCCGAAAGGCAUGCCUGUUCGAGCGUCAUAAAACCCAAUUAAUCCCCAGCUUUUUUGUUUACUGGUGGGUUGCUAUUGAGGGAUGAGGGGAAUUUAGUUUUUUCCUCACCCUUGAAUUAUAUUGGCGGAUAUCGUUAAUUUUUGUUUUUGGCAAAACGACGGUAGUAGUAAAUAGAUUUUUCUUCUUCUUACCUUCUUUUUUGUUAGAAAUUUAAUAACGUGUUCUAGCCAUCAAAAAUAUAAAUUUUUAUUUGUUUUGACCUCGAAUCAGGUAGGGAUAUCCGCUGAACUUAAGCAUAUCAAUAAGCGGAGGA
rnacentral:misc_RNA from 1 species